rnacentral:tRNA from 1 species
GCCUGGCUAGCUCAGUCGGUAGAGCACGAGAUUCUUAACCUCGGGGUAGUGGGUUUGAGCCCCAUGUUGGGCG